CGAGAAAGUGCGUUCUGGGUGGAGGCUGCUCUGUUCCUUUCCUGCAGCCACGGCGCCCAAGGGUGGCAUGGGGAGAUGUGCUAACCAUGGACCCUUUUCCCCCUUUUGAGGGCCCAAAAGACUGCUGUAGGAAGAAAGCAGCAAACAAAGCUCUGAGCCAGCCCCCUGGGCCCGAAGCUCCCGGGCCGGCGACCCACAGGCUGCCAGAGACGUUACCGGAGCUGAUGAUUCAACUUCCUGCCUUCUGAGAGCUCCCAGACCACAGAGGUUUUCUUGCUGGGAGGACGGGCCACCUCCCUGCAGACGUCCAGCCACCACGGGACCCGGCCAGCUACAGACAGCAAGGGCCAGGCAGUGCACAGGCAGACCAGGGGCUCACCCUGGGGUGCCAGGAGGCUGGCCCUCAAGUCGGUCCCACUUUGGGUUAACGCUGACCACAUAGGGUGCCCCAUGACUGACUGGUCAGCAGCUGUCCCAGUUUUAGCACCCCAAAUCCUAUAUCCCAGGAAAUGCUGGCCACUGUGUUACCACCCAUAGCAUGAUUUUCUGCCUCAAUGAUUUUAGGGGUCUGAGCCCCAGGGCAGAACAUUCUAGAAUCUGAAAUUGUUGCACCACAGCCCAAGGGGCAGACCUGGCUUUCUGCCUGUUUUUGUACAACUCCUGACCUAAGAAUAGUCAUCUCAUUUUUAAUGGAUGAAGACAAACUUAAGGAAGAAUAAUACUUCAUGACAUGUAAAAAUUACAUGAAAUUCAAAUUUCAGUGUGCAUAAAUAAAGGAACGCAGCCACGCUC